CAUGCAAGUCGAGCGAUGAAAUUUUGACAGAUCCCUUCGGGGUGAAGAUAAAAUGGAUUAGCGGCGGACGGGUGAGUAACACGUGAGUAACCUGCCUUAGACAUUGGGAUAGCCUCGGGAAACCGGGAUUAAUACCGAAUAAAAUCACAGAUACACAUGUAUCCAUGAUCAAAACUCCGGUGGUCUAAGAUGGACUCGCGUCCCAUUAGCUAGUUGGUGAGGUAACGGCCCACCAAGGCGACGAUGGGUAGCCGGCCUGAGAGGGUGAACGGCCACAUUGGAACUGAGAAACGGUCCAAACUCCUACGGGAGGCAGCAGUGGGGAAUAUUGCACAAUGGAGGGAACUCUGAUGCAGCGACGCCGCGUGAACGAAGAAGGCUUUCGAGUCGUAAAGUUCUUUUAUAUGGGAAGAUAAUGACGGUACCAUAAGAAAAAGCCCCGGCUAACUACGUGCCAGCAGCCGCGGUAAUACGUAGGGGGCUAGCGUUGUCCGGAAUCACUGGGCGUAAAGGGUUCGCAGGCGGAAAUGCAAGUCAGAUGUAAAAGGCAGUAGCUUAACUACUGUAAGCAUUUGAAACUGCAUAUCUUGAGAAGAGUAGAGGUAAGUGGAAUUUUUAGUGUAGCGGUGAAAUGCGUAGAUAUUAAAAAGAAUACCGGUGGCGAAGGCGACUUACUGGGCUCAUUCUGACGCUGAGGAACGAAAGCGUGGGUAGCAAACAGGAUUAGAUACCCUGGUAGUCCACGCUGUAAACGAUGAGUGCUAGGUGUCGGCUUAAGUCGGUGCCGCAGUUAACACAAUAAGCACUCCGCCUGGGGAGUACGUGCGCAAGCAUGAA
rnacentral:rRNA from 1 species